AGUUCGAUCAUGGCUCAGGAUGAACGCUGGCGGCAUGCCUAAUACAUGCAAGUCGAACGGAGUGAAGCCUUCGGGUUUCAUUCAGUGGCGAACGGGUGAGUAAUACGCAGGGAACCUGGCCAUGGCAGGGGGAUACACUCUGGAAACGGAGCAUAAGACCCCAUAGGCAGUAAGGCGGCAUCGCCUUACUGUUAAAGAAAGCUGAAAGGCUUUGGCGAUGGAUGGACCUGCGGUGCAUUAGCUUGUUGGUGAGGCAACGGCUUACCAAGGCGAUGAUGCAUAGCCGGCCUGAGAGGGCGGACGGCCACACUGGGACUGAGACACGGCCCAGACUCCUGCGGGAGGCAGCAGUAGGGAAUUUUCGUCAAUGGGCGCAAGCCUGAACGAGCAAUGCCGCGUGAGUGAGGAAGGUCUUCGGACUGUAAAGCUCUGUUGCCGGGGAAAAAGGGGAAAUGCAGGAAAUGGCAUUUCAUGGAUGGUACCCGGCCAGAAAGCCACGGCUAACUACGUGCCAGCAGCCGCGGUAAUACGUAGGUGGCGAGCGUUAUCCGGAAUGAUUGGGCGUAAAGGGUGCGCAGGCGGUCUGUUAAGUCUGAAGGCAAAGGGAUGAGCUCAACUCAUUUAUGAUUCAGAAACUGGCAGACUUGAGGACAGGAGAGGGCGGUGGAACUCCAUGUGUAGCGGUAAAAUGCGCAGAGAUAUGGAAGAACACCAGUGGCGAAGGCGGCCGCCUGGCCUGUGACUGACGCUGAGGCACGAAAGCGUGGGGAGCAAAUAGGAUUAGAUACCCUAGUAGUCCACGCCGUAAACGAUGAGGAGCAGGUGUUGGGAGUGAAAUCUCAGUGCCGAAGCCAACGCAGUGACUCCUCCGCCUGGGGAGUAUGUACGCAAGUGUGAAACUCAAAGGAAUUGACGGGGGCCCGCACAAGCGGUGGAGUAUGUGGUUUAAUUCGAAGCAACGCGAAGAACCUUACCAGGUUUUGACAUCGGAUGCGAAGGUGCAGAGAUGCGCUGGAGGUUAACAUCCAGACAGGUGGUGCAUGGUUGUCGUCAGCUCGUGUCGUGAGAUGUUCAGUUAAGUCUGGCAACGAGCGCAACCCCCGUGGUAUGUUACUAACGCUUAGGGCGAGGACUCAUAUCAGACUGCCGGUGACAAACCGGAGGAAGGCGGGGAUGACGUCAAAUCAUCAUGCCCCUUAUGACCUGGGCUACACACGUACUACAAUGGCGUCUACAGAGGGAAGCGACCCUGAGAAGGGAAGCGAAACCGGAAAAGGGCGUCCCAGUUCGGAUUGAAGUCUGCAACCCGACUUCAUGAAGAUGGAAUCGCUAGUAAUCGCGGAUCAGCAUGCCGCGGUGAAUACGUUCCCGGGCCUUGUACACACCGCCCGUCAAACCAUGGAAGCCGGCAACGCCCGAAGCCGGUGGCAUAACCUUUUAGGAGUGAGCCGUCGAAGGCGGGGCCGAUGACUGGGGUUAAGUCGUAACAAGGUACCC
rnacentral:rRNA from 1 species